GGGGAUAAUACCCCAUAGACUAUGAAUGCUGGAAUGCUUUGUAGUUGAAAGGUCCGCCGCCAUAGGAUGGGUCUGCGGCCGAUUAGGUUGUUGUUGGGGUAACGGCCCAACAAGCCUGUAAUCGGUACGGGUUGUGGGAGCAAGAGCCCGGAGAUGGAUUCUGAGACACGAAUCCAGGCCCUACGGGGCGCAGCAGGCGCGAAAACUUUACAAUGCGGGAAACCGUGAUAAGGGAACUCCGAGUGCCCGUAAAAUCGGGCUGUCCAUCUGUUUAAAUAACAGGUGAAGAAAGGGCCGGGCAAGACCGGUGCCAGCCGCCGCGGUAAUACCGGCGGCUCGAGUGGUGGCCACUAUUACUGGGCUUAAAGCGUUCGUAGCUGGUCUGUUAAGUCUCUGGGGAAAUCUACUGGCUUAACCAAUAGGCGUCUCAGGGAUACUGGCAGACUAGGGACCGGGAGAGGUGAGAGGUACUCCAGGGGUAGGAGUGAAAUCCUGUAAUCCUUGGGGGACCACCUGUGGCGAAGGCGUCUCACCAGAACGGCUCCGACAGUGAGGGACGAAAGCUGGGGGAGCAAACCGGAUUAGAUACCCGGGUAGUCCCAGCUGUAAACGAUGCGCGUUAGGUGUAUCGGUGACCACGAGUCAUCGAGGUGCCGAAGGGAAAUCGUGAAACGUGCCGCCUGGGAAGUACGGUCGCAAGGCUGAAACUUAAAGGAAUUGGCGGG
rnacentral:rRNA from 1 species